UACGGGGGGGGCAAGCGUUGUUCGGAAUUACUGGGCGUAAAGGGCUCGUAGGCGGCCAACUAAGUCAGACGUGAAAUCCCUCGGCUUAACCGGGGAACUGCGUCUGAUACUGGAUGGCUUGAGGUUGGGAGAGGGAUGCGGAAUUCCAGGUGUAGCGGUGAAAUGCGUAGAUAUCAGGAGGAACACCGGUGGCGAAGGCGGAUCUCUGGGCCAUUACUGACGCUGAGGAGCGAAAGCGUGGGGAGCGAACAGG
rnacentral:rRNA from 1 species